rnacentral:lncRNA from 1 species
CGUCUCCCACCUGCAGCAGGAGAUGGGCAUAAAGAGCCUCCGCAGGUUCCCAGUGCUGGGGAAAAAAAAUAAUUGAUAAUUUGGGAAAAUAAUUUGGGAUUUUUAUUUUUUUUCUCCCCCUUCUCCCCUCCUUUCCUGGUGUUUCACCUCAAAAUUGGACAUCAGCAAAGGAUGGGUGAGAGCUGCCAGAAUUUCAGCCUUUCUGGCAAUUCAGGAGUUUUCAUCAAUUUGGAGACAUCUGAUGAGUUGUUGGGGUCGUUUCGUGACCAAGAACUGCAGAGCAAGGAGACAGGAGGCUGGCAGGCACCUGAUGAUCCGAGGACCGCUACCUCAGUGGGGACAAAGGAUCGAGGAGAUCAGAUCAGAUCAAAAGAGCAGAGCAGAGCAAACAGAUCAGAUCAGAGCAGAGCAGAGCAGCCCUCCUUCAUCUCCCCACAAACAGCAUGUAUGCAACCGAAAUGCACCCAGCACCAUCGAGCUUGCCCUGUGCAAAUCUGGUGGUAA